rnacentral:lncRNA from 1 species
UCGGGGGACAGAGUCGACCAUUUGGAGACCUGCCAGAAGAGCCGUCUCUCCAAGGGAAUGAAAGUGAACCAAGGACUGGGUUUUGCUCUGGAAGCCUGUCCUGAUUGCUUCUGUAAUCUGGCGCUAUGCAUCCGGAUCUUGGACCCUUAUGUACACUGCUGUAUGUUACUCUUACAAUUCUGUGCUCUUCUGUGAGUUCAGACUUGGCACCUUAUUUUACUUCUGAGCCGCUCUCUGCUGUCCAGAAACUUGGUGGACCUGUAGUACUGCAUUGUUCUGCUCAACCUGUGACCACUCGUAUCUCAUGGCUGCAUAACGGAAAAACAUUGGAUGGAAACCUGGAACAUGUUAAGAUUCAUCAGGGGACUCUGACAAUUCUUUCUCUCAACUCCUCUCUUUUGGGUUACUACCAGUGCCUUGCCAACAAUAGCAUCGGUGCCAUUGUGAGUGGCCCUGCGA